AGCAGCCGCGGUAAUUCCAGCUCCAAUAGCGUAUAUUAAAGUUGUUGCAGUUAAAAGCUCGUAGUUGAAUUUCGGGGUUCAUCCGUUGGUCGGGCUUUUUGGUCUGUACUGGCGUGAUGGAUUCCUACCUUCUGAAUAACCGGCAUGUCAUUAAUUUGGUGCGCCGGGGAAGCAGGACUGUUACCUUGAAAAAUUAGAGUGCUUAAAGCAGGCUAUCGCCUGAAUACAUUAGCAUGGAAUAAUGAAAUAGGACGGCAUGGUUCUAUUUUGUUGGUUUCUAGGAUCACCGUAAUGAUUAAUAGGGAUAGUUGGGGGCAUUAGUAUUCAAUUGUCAGAGGUGAAAUUCUUGGAUUUAUUGAAGACUAACUUCUGCGAAAGUAUUUGCCAAGGAUGUUUUCAUUAAUCAAGAACGAAAGUUAGGGGAUCGAAGACGAUCAGAUACCGUCGUAGUCUUAACCAUAAACUAUGCCGACUAGGGAUCGGAUGAUGUAAUUUUUAAUGA
rnacentral:rRNA from 1 species